GAUGAACGCUAGCGACAGGCUUAACACAUGCAAGUCGAGGGGCAGCGAGGGCGUAGCAAUACGCCUGUCGGCGACCGGCGCACUGGUGAGUAACACGUAUGCGACCUGCCCCCUACAGGGGUUAUAACCCGUAGAAAUGCGGACUAAAUCCCCCAUAGUCCUGGGUGCUGCAUGGCAUUCAGGGAAAGGUUUCCGGUAGGGGAUGGGCAUGCGGCGCAUUAGCUAGUUGGCGGGGCAAACGGCCCACCAAAGGCGACGAUGCGUAGGGGUUCUGAGAGGAAGGUCCCCCANACUGGUACUGGAGACACGGG
rnacentral:rRNA from 1 species